rnacentral:rRNA from 1 species
UACGAAGGGGGCUAGCGUUGCUCGGAAUCACUGGGCGUAAAGCGCACGUAGGCGGAUUGUUAAGUCAGGGGUGAAAUCCUGGAGCUCAACUCCAGAACUGCCUUUGAUACUGGCGAUCUCGAGUCCGGGAGAGGUGAGUGGAACUGCGAGUGUAGAGGUGAAAUUCGUAGAUAUUCGGAAGAACACCAGUGGCGAAGGCGGCUCACUGGACCGGUAUUGACGCUGAGGUGCGAAAGCGUGGGGAGCAAACAGG